rnacentral:RNase_P_RNA from 1 species
GAGGAAAGUCCGAGCUCCAUAGGGCAAGGCGCUCUGUAACACAGAGUCCCGGUGACGGGAAGGAAAGUGCCACAGAAAGGGAAACCGCCCAUCAGGUAUGGGUAAGGGUGAAAAGGUGUCCCCAUCGGGGGAUUCCCGGCGUUUGCCGGGAAAGGUAAGAGCUCACCAGUGUCCCGGGUGACCGGGGCAGCUAGGAAAACCCCGCCUGGAGCAAGGCCAAAUAGGUUCCGCUUUGAGAGGGGCCCCUUCAAAUCCCUGUUAAUUGACGGGAUAGCGGAACGGGUUAGGCCGCAAGACUUCGCUAUGAACGCGGGGCAGAGAUGAAUGACCAUGACCCGAUUAACGGGGAACAGAACUCGGCUU